rnacentral:rRNA from 1 species
CCUACGGGGGGCAGCAGUGGGGAAUAUUGCACAAUGGGGGAAACCCUGAUGCAGCAACGCCGCGUGAGUGAUGACGGUCUUCGGAUUGUAAAGCUCUGUCUUUGGGGACGAUAAUGACGGUACCCAAGGAGGAAGCCACGGCUAACUACGUGCCAGCAGCCGCGGUAAUACGUAGGUGGCGAGCGUUGUCCGGAUUUACUGGGCGUAAAGGGAGCGUAGGCGGAUUUUUAAGUGGGAUGUGAAAUACCCGGGCUCAACCUGGGUGCUGCAUUCCAAACUGGGAAUCUAGAGUGCAGGAGGGGAGAGUGGAAUUCCUAGUGUAGCGGUGAAAUGCGUAGAGAUUAGGAAGAACACCAGUGGCGAAGGCGACUCUCUGGACUGUAACUGACGCUGAGGCUCGAAAGCGUGGGGAGCGAACAGGAUUAGAUACCCGGGUAGUC